CUCUACAAUAACACAUAACACAUCCCCAUACACACUCCACUGCCUGUGAGCAAACUCAUGGGUGGAACAUAUAGGUGGACUUAUGGGUGGGCCUUAUGGGCAUACUCACCAUCAGGCCCUGGGGCCCAGACCUUGAGCUGUGUAAGGGGCGCCCAAAAAAAUGGAGCUGCUUCCUGUUCUCCCAGAACAUUGAAUUUAGUGACCACAGUUACAAAC